rnacentral:rRNA from 1 species
AGCUCUCCGAGUGGUAGGGAUGUUUAUUGGGCUUGAAGCGUCCGUAGCUGGCCUGGCAAGUCUUCCGUUAAAUCCAACGAUUCAAUCGUUGGACUGCGGGAGGUACUGUUGGGCUAGGGGGCGGAAGAGGCCGACGGUAUUCUCGGGGUAGGGGUAAAAUCCUAUAAUCCCGGGAAGACCACCAGUGGCGAAGGCGGUCGGCUAGAACGUGCUCGACGGUGAGGGACGAAAGCUGGGGGAGCGAACCGGAUUAGAUACCCGAGUAGUCC